GAGAUAAAGAGCCAUCAGAAUCCAGCCCCAGCUCUGGCGCCAGGGGUCCCUUCCAAUAUCAGCACCAUGGCCUGGACUCCUCUCUUUCUGUUCCUCCUCACUUGCUGCCCAGGGUCCAAUUCUCAGACUGUGGUGACUCAGGAGCCCUCACUGACUGUGUCCCCAGGAGGGACAGUCACUCUCACCUGUGCUUCCAGCACUGGAGCAGUCACCAGUGGUUACUAUCCAAACUGGUUCCAGCAGAAACCUGGACAAGCACCCAGGGCACUGAUUUAUAGUACAAGCAACAAACACUCCUGGACCCCUGCCCGGUUCUCAGGCUCCCUCCUUGGGGGCAAAGCUGCCCUGACACUGUCAGGUGUGCAGCCUGAGGACGAGGCUGAGUAUUACUGCCUGCUCUACUAUGGUGGUGCUCAGCACAGUGACAGACUCAUAAGAGGAACCAAGACAUAAACCUCCCUCGGCCCU